rnacentral:tRNA from 1 species
GCGGACGUGGCGGAACUGGUAGACGCGCCAGGUUUAGGUCCUGGUGCCGAAAGGCAUGGGGGUUCGAGUCCCCCCGUCCGCA